CCCAUUGCGUGGAUUGUCUACGACAGUAUAACGAGCACCACCUGCCCGGGUUUGUUUAGAGUUUGCUCUCCUAGGAAGAUUGCCUACCACGGCUAACGACCUCCACCUGCCCGGGUUUAUUGUUCGGAGUUUGCUCUCCUAGGUGAAUUGCCUCCCACGGCUAACGAGCUCCACCUGCCCGGGUUUGUUGUUCGGAGUUUGCUCUCCUAGGUGAACUGCCUUCCACGGCUAACGAGCUCCACCUGCCCGGGUUUAUUGUUCGGAGUUUGCUCUCCUAGGUGAAUUGCCUACCACGGCUAACGAGCUCCACCUGCCCGGGUUUGUUUAGAGUUUGCUCUCCUAGGUGAAUUGCCUACCACGGCUAACGAGCUCCACCUGCCCGGGUUUAUUGUUCGGAGUUUGCUCUCCUAGGUGAAUUGCCUACCACGGCUAACGAGCUCCACCUGCCCGGGUUUAUUGUUCGGAGUUUGCUCUCCUAGGUGAAUUGCCUACCACGGCUAACGAGCUCCACCUGCCCGGGUUUAUUGUUCGGAGUUUGCUCUCCUAGGUGAAUUGCCUACCACGGCUAACGAGCUCCACCUGCCCGGGUUUAUUGUUCGGAGUUUGCUCUCCUAGGUGAAUUGCCUACCACGGCUAACGAGCUCCACCUGCCCGGGUUUAUUGUUCGGAGUUUGCUCUCCUAGGUGAACUGCCUUCCACGGCUAACGAGCUCCACCUGCCCGGGUUUGUUUAGA